UUACAGUCAUAUCACGUUGAAACACCGCUUCCCGUAUGCUCAUCUAAGUUAAGCAACGUCGAGGUAGGUCAGUACCUAGAUGAGUGACCGCUUGGGAAUACCUGGUGC